UGCAAUUUCAGAACCUGAAGGCUCAGUGAAGGUCAGAAAAGGUUCUUUGUUUGAAAUCAUUUCUUUUCCAGCAAAAACUGCCUUAACUAGCAUAAUGUAUGCUUCUUAUGCAGCGCUAAUUUAUUUGGCAGUCUGUGUUAAUGCUGUGCUGGCAAAGAUAAAGAACAUUUUCCAAGAAGAAGAAUCCAUAAGGCAAAAUAGAGAGAGCAAGAAUUUUAGAAAAGCCUUCUCUGAACCCGUGCUCUCGGAGCCCAUGUUUUCUGAAGGUGAAAUCAAAGCGAAACCUUACAGGUCACUGCCAGAGAAGCCAGACCACCUCUCAGAUCAACCCAAGCCUCCUGCCAGCAUGCAGAGCAACAAGAUCCAAGUUCUACAUUCUGUAUUUGACCAAUCGGCUGAAUUAAAUGAAUGAGAAAUAUGGACAAAAAUACCACUUUAGAGAGCUCAAUAGUUACCUAUCCACAGGUAAAUUUCAUCAGACAUUCCAAUUUAUGUAAGCUGAAUGCUCUUUUAAGAAGGGACACAGAAGGGAAACUAUGACAUCAUUCUCUGGUAUUUAAAUGAAAUAGAAAAUAAAAUGAAUCUUGAUGUACAAU
rnacentral:lncRNA from 1 species